UACGUAGGGUCCGAGCGUUGUCCGGAAUUAUUGGGCGUAAAGAGCUCGUAGGCGGUGUGUCGCGUCGGCCGUGAAAACCUGGGGCUCAACUCUGGGCGUGCGGUCGAUACGGGCAUCACUGGAGUUCGGCAGGGGAGACUGGAAUUCCUGGUGUAGCGGUGAAAUGCGCAGAUAUCAGGAGGAGCACCGGUGGCGAAGGCGGGUCUCUGGGCCGAAACUGACGCUGAGGAGCGAAAGCGUGGGGAGCAAACAGG
rnacentral:rRNA from 1 species